rnacentral:tRNA from 1 species
AGGAACAGGUGGGCCUUGAUCCCACAAAUAUUAGUUAACAGCUAACU